UCAAACACAGCUUCAGCUGUGCUCCCCUUCCUUCUUCAAUGCCUUGUACUGCGAAGGCUAGGGCGGAGUGGGGCAAGAUUACAACAUCCACCUUCGAAAUGU
rnacentral:lncRNA from 1 species